rnacentral:rRNA from 1 species
AUGGCGACCAGCACUGGGAAGUUCACUGAUGGCUUGUGGGGCCCGAAGCACUACAUCCUGGCGGCCAUCGCCGUGACCCUCGCCGUGAGCGCCGUGGCCGUCGUGACCUCCGUCAUCCUCAGCCCCGCGCGCAUCGUCUUCUCCGUGACCGCCACCUCCACCAACCAGGUCCAGGGAGCGCCGGUGUUGAUCCUAAACUUCACCGUGGACGCUGCCAACCCGAGCCGCCGCGCGGGGGUGGAGUACAGCUCCCUCACGGCCCGGCUGCGGGUGUACAGCGCGAGCCACGGGGCGGACGCGUCGGUGCAGACGGUGGUCCACCAGGCCAUGCCGCUCCUCCAGCCGCCGGCGAGCUCGAGCAGCUUCCGUGCGUCGGCCUUCUUCGACCUGCGCUUCUUGGUCAGUAACUCCGGCGGCAACAAGGGCGUCCGUGCACAGCGGGCGCCUCCCAUGAGCGUGCUGGUGAGGGCCCAAGUCCGGUUCAAGGUCGGGCUGGCCUACUCCCGCCCGUACGACGUCGAGGUGUCCUGCCAGCCCGUCGACUUCUUCACGGCCGCCGCCGCCGGUACGAGGAUCGGCUGCGUUGCCUGA